rnacentral:rRNA from 1 species
CGAUUGGAGGGCAAGUCUGGUGCCAGCAGCCGCGGUAAUUCCAGCUCCAAUAGCGUAUAUUAAAGUUGUUGCAGUUAAAAAGCUCGUAGUUGGAUGUAUGGCGGCGGGCGGGUGGUGUGCCGCGAGGCGCUACUGCCGGCCCGGGCCACGAUGCUGGGGACGGGCCCUUGCGGGUGCGGAACCAGGGGAUUACUUUGAAGAAAUUAGAGUGUUUAAAGCGGGCGAUAGCUUGAAUACAUUAGCAUGGAAUAAUGGGAUAGGACUGCGGUCUUAUUUUGUUGGUUUGAGGGCAGCAGUAAUGAUUAAUAGGGAUAGUUGGGGGCAUUUGUAUUCAGUAGUCAGAGGUGAAAUUCUUGGAUUUACUGAAGACAGACUAGUGCGAAAGCAUUUGCCAAGGAUGUUUUCAUUAAUCAAGAACGAAAGUUAGGGGAUCGAAGACGAUUAGAUACCGUCGUAGUCUUAACCAUAAACUAUGCCGACUAGAGAUUGGCGGAUGUCGUUAGCGACGCCGUCAGCAUCUUACGAAG